GUGGGGAUAGCUCAAUUGGGAGAGCAUCAGAUUGAAGAUUUGAAGGUUACGUGUUCGAACCACGUUCACAACA